CGAACAGAGAAGGAGCUUGCUCCUUUGACGUUAGCGGCGGACGGGUGAGUAACACGUGGGCAACCUACCUUAUAGUUUGGGAUAACUCCGGGAAACCGGGGCUAAUACCGAAUAAUCUGUUCCACCUCAUGGUGGAACACUGAAAGACGGUUUCGGCUGUCGCUAUAAGAUGGGCCCGCGGCGCAUUAGCUAGUUGGUGAGGUAACGGCUCACCAAGGCGACGAUGCGUAGCCGACCUGAGAGGGUGAUCGGCCACACUGGGACUGAAACACGGCCCAGACUCCUACGGGAGGCAGCAGUAGGGAAUCUUCCACAAUGGGCGAAAGCCUGAUGGAGCAACGCCGCGUGAGUGAAGAAGGUUUUCGGAUCGUAAAACUCUGUUGUAAGGGAAGAACAAGUACAGUAGUAACUGGCUGUACCUUGACGGUACCUUAUUAGAAAGCCACGGCUAACUACGUGCCAGCAGCCGCGGUAAUACGUAGGUGGCAAGCGUUGUCCGGAAUUAUUGGGCGUAAAGCGCGCGCAGGCGGUCCUUUAAGUCUGAUGUGAAAGCCCACGGCUCAACCGUGGAGGGUCAUUGGAAACUGGGGGACUUGAGUGCAGAAGAGGAAAGUGGAAUUCCAAGUGUAGCGGUGAAAUGCGUAGAGAUUUGGAGGAACACCAGUGGCGAAGGCGACUUUCUGGUCUGUAACUGACGCUGAGGCGCGAAAGCGUGGGGAGCAAACAGGAUUAGAUACCCUGGUAGUCCACGCCGUAAACGAUGAGUGCUAAGUGUUAGGGGGUUUCCGCCCCUUAGUGCUGCAGCUAACGCAUUAAGCACUCCGCCUGGGGAGUACGGUCGCAAGACUGAAACUCNAAGGAAUUGACCGGGGGCCCGCACAAGCGGUGGAGCAUGUGGUUAAAUUCGAAGCAACGCGAAGAACCUUACCAGGUCUUGAACAUNCCGUUGACNCUGNAGAGAUAAUAGUUUCCCCUUCGGGGGGCAACGGNGACAGNNGGNGNAUGGNUUGUCGUCAGCUCNNGUCCNUGAGAUGUUGNNNAGUCCCCNCAACGAGNNNCACCCNNGAUCUANNNGCCAUUCAUUU
rnacentral:rRNA from 1 species